rnacentral:misc_RNA from 1 species
UGAGGCAAUAACAGGUCUGUGA